UAUUGGUCAAUGGACGCAAGUCUGAACCAGCCAUGCCGCGUGCAGGAAGACGGCUCUAUGAGUUGUAAACUGCUUUUGUAUUAGGGUAAACUCAGGUACGUGUACCUGACUGCAAGUAUAAUAAGAAUAAGGAUCGGCUAACUCCGUGCCCGCAGCCGCGGUAAUACGGAGGAUCCGCGCGUUAUCCGUAUUUAUUGGGUUUAAAGGGUGCGUAGGCGGUUUGAUAAGUUAGAGGUGAAAUGUCGGGGCUCAACCCCGAAACUGCCUCUAAUACUGUUGGACUAGAGAAUAGUUGCGGUAGGCGGAAUGUAUGGUGUAGCGGUGAAAUGCUUAGAGAUCAUACAGAACACCGAUUGCGAAGGCAGCUUACCAAACUAUAUCUGACGUUGAGGCACGAAAGCGUGGGUAGCAAACAGG
rnacentral:rRNA from 1 species